AUAUACAGAAAAAACUAAAACGUGGGGCAAAAAUACUGUGGACUUGUUGUAGCCAGAUUUUAGUCACUGCAUUCUUUCCAUCUUUCUCUUUCGUUUUCUCUUUUCUACUUCCAGCCAUUACCUCCCCUUAAUUCAGCCUUCAACAACACCCAGAACAAAACCCCCCUGGUUUUUUGUGAGAAAAAAAAGAGGAGUUUUUUGGGAGAGAAACGAAGAGAGAAGACAACACAACAACCGGUAGCUGCCAUUGAUGUGAAGGAGUCGACGGUGGAUCCUUUCUUGGUUGAGGCUUUACAGAACCACAUCUUCCUCACACCAGAGCAGCUUUGACUAUUCCGAAUCUUCAUCGAUUACAGUUCUCCCACUCUCAACUUCCAGCUCAUCCAUUCCGAAGGCUUUUGUUGUAGACAAGCCCACGUUCAGCCAGAUAAGUUGCUUUUAAAACCUGGUUUGCUUUGUGCUGGUUUGGUUUGCCUUUUUAAUCAUUAUGGGUCUGCAGAUUAUGAUUUUAUCUGGAUUUGCAUGUUAGUUGUUGUUUUUUGUUUCCAUUUGUAUGUUUUCUCUCUUUUUUUGGUUCUUUUUACUGUUUAAUGGUUUGUUCGGCUUUUUUUGUUGUUUGGAUUAGUUGCAGUUCUGAUUCUAAUGGUUCUGUUUUUCCUUCUCAGUCUCUUCCUUGACAAUAGAGGUGUCUGUCUUGCUACCAAGGUUCUUAGUUGCUUCCGAGGUCUAUUUUGCGACUUUGUUCCUGUUCAUGUUGGUUUUUAAGUGUUCUCUGUCCUGUGGAUAUCAACUUCUUUUUUUUCUAUUUGUUUUCCAGCUCUUUUUUUGGGUUGUUUCAUGUUUCGCUCCUAUUGGUUGGUUGGGCAGGUGGUUGGUUGUUCUGAUUCUCAUCUUUUUUUCUACUUCCUUCUCAGCCUCGAGCUUUUGCAGGGAGGAGGCUGUGUUGUUAUAAGGAUCAUUGGUGCAUUUUGGAGUUACAAUUGAUUUUAGAACGUUCUUCUUUGGUGCUCUCAAUUGAGGCAGACUGCAGACUUGGAACAGCUUUUGGUGGGGGGGGGGGGGGGGGGAUUCAGAUUCUUCUUGUUGCUUUAAGUUGGUCAGCUAUAGAGGGAUGGAUACAAAGUGGGGCGGGUCGAACGAUAGAUUAGCCAUCGGUACACGCACAUGGUGCCCUUCUGUUUUAGGGGAAGGAAAAAAUGUCAUAAAGCAUGAAACCGUUUUAUAAUGAUUAAUUUAAAGCAGUUCCUAGUUUUCGUUCAAGCCAAAGAUAACGCUAUUGCAGAUACUUAUUUUGGAGAGAUCCAUUUAAGGCGUAAAUGGUGCUUUGUUUGUCAUAGUUUCAGAUUGCGUGAAAUGCAGCCCGGUAAAGCAGCGUGACCUAUUUCUCUUUCUAGCUUUGUGUUCCAAUUUUUUGUGUGGUUGGAUUUGCAAUUUCAGGAACAAUUAGCGUUAAGCCACACGGCUUUGCAGUCUAGAGACUUUUAUCAGUUUAUGAAGGGCUAUGAGUGUUUUUUUUAACCCUGCCCUUCGAGAAGCCUUUUUCAAGACGUCUGCUGCUGCUUCGUCUCAAGCCUGCACACACCAUCAUCUUGGCAAUCUUUUUCCCUUUUCCCUUUGUGCUAAUAAGACUAUCUAUGUAUGUAUGCGACCUAAGAACAUGCCAUGUUAUUUAAGAGCCAUUGUUGCUGUCGUUUGAAGUUA